UACGUAGGGGGCAAGCGUUGUCCGGAAUCAUGGGGCGUAAAGCGCGCGCAGGCGGCCUUUUAAGUCGGAUGCGAAAUCUUGCGGCUUAACCGCAAGCGGUCAUUGGAAACUGGAGGGCUUGAGUACAGAAGAGGAGAGCGGAAUUCCACGUGUAGCGGUGAAAUGCGUAGAGAUGUGUAGGAACACCAGUGGCGCAGGCGGCUCUCUGGUCUGUAACUGACGCUGAGGCGCGAAAGCGUGGGGAGCAAACAGG
rnacentral:misc_RNA from 1 species